CACGGAUCACUGAUGGUGACGCAGGCCAGCAGACUCUGUCUCACCGUAGAGGAAAUUGGCGGAGCCUGGUAGCCAUGAUUUUGAGACCUUCAUAUGGAUGACGAAAUGGUUUCACUUCCAGGAGAAAGUGGAAUAUAAUUAGCCUAUACUACGGUAUCACAAUAGCCCCUUGAUGAUUUAAGUGGGCUUCCUACCAAGCCAAACUAACCCAACCCAACCAAAAGAUUUAUAAAAUUUUUUGACCAGGUCAUAAAAAGCAAAGGAGAACGCAGGAUGGAGCCUUUUAGCUGACAUGAGAGAACCGUUGAAUUACCGAGCGAUUCUGAAUACCUGAGAUGAUUCUACACUGCGCUGAGCCAAUUCCUAAUUCGCAGCAGCUGAAGAGAAAGGCGUAUAAAUGGAGGUCAGCAGCGAAUUUCACAAAAAAAAAAAAAUGACUCUAGUCGAUUAUAUGUGUUGCGAAAGCAUGUCCAAUGUAUUAAUAUCGCUGAAAUGAACUGAAAAAAAAACAACGUACACAAUUGUUGGGCAAAUGAACGACGUGGAUACUCAAAUGUUCAUUCGUAAACGGGCUUCGCUUACGAAAGAAUAGCCUGCAGGCUAGCCAAGGAAGCAAAUGCUGGAAAAAUUGAAUCUUCCACGUAUUUCUUAAUAAAAUAAGUUGAUAUACUUUUUUUUUAAUAAAUAUUUUUUAUAGAAACAUACCUAACCUCUGAU